rnacentral:rRNA from 1 species
GCGAACGCUGGCGGCAGGCCUAACACAUGCAAGUCGAGCGGCCCUUCGGGGCAGCGGCGGACGGGUGAGUAACGCGUGGGAACGUGCCCUUUGGUACGGAACAACUGAGGGAAACUUCAGCUAAUACCGGAUGUGACCUACGGGGGAAAGAUUUAUCGCCAUUGGAGCGGCCCGCGUUAGAUUAGCUAGUUGGGAGGGUAAUGGCCUACCAAGGCGACGAGCUAUAGCUGGUCUGAGAGGAGGAUCAGCCACACUGGGACUGAGACACGGCCCAGACUCCUACGGGGGGCAGCAGUGGGGAAUCUUGCGCAAUGGGCGAAAGCCUGACGCAGCCAUGCCGCGCGAAUGAUGAAGGUCUUAGGAUUGUAAAAUUCUUUCACCGGGGACGAUAAUGACGGUACCCGGAGAAGAAGCCCCGGCUAACUUCGUGCCAGCCGCCGCAGUAACAC